rnacentral:rRNA from 1 species
UAGGGAAUCUUCCGCAAUGGACGAAAGUCUGACGGAGCAACGCCGCGUGAGCGAAGAAGGUCUUCGGAUCGUAAAGCUCUGUUGUCAGGGAAGAACAAGUACCGUUCGAACAGGGCGGUACCUUGACGGUACCUGACGAGGAAGCCACGGCUAACUACGUGCCAGCAGCCGCGGUAAUACGUAGGUGGCAAGCGUUGUCCGGAAUUAUUGGGCGUAAAGCGCGCGCAGGCGGUUCCUUAAGUCUGAUGUGAAAUCUCGCGGCUCAACCGCGAGCGGCCAUUGGAAACUGGGGAACUUGAGUGCAGGAGAGGGGAGCGGAAUUCCACGUGUAGCGGUGAAAUGCGUAGAGAUGUGGAGGAACACCAGUGGCGAAGGCGGCUCGCUGGCCUGUAACUGACGCUGAGGCGCGAAAGCGUGGGGAGCGAACAGG